rnacentral:lncRNA from 1 species
AGCCCACAAUAUAAACACAAGGGAUGAGGAAGAACCAGUAGCAACGGGCAGACCUGUUCGUCCAUAUCAGGAAAGAGAGAUCUAAGAUGUCCAAGCACCGUCGGGCUACCACCGGUAAAACUGUUGCUGACGACGUCCCGUGUGGAAGGAGACGCCGCGGAACUCGUAGGCGAGAACCGAAGAGAUGAGGAUCCGAAUCGGGCCUUCUUCGAGGCGGAAGGCGGCGAAGAGGCAGCGGCAGCGGCGGCGGUGUGGUGGUGCAGAUCUUCGAAGAAGCAGGAGGACCUCUUACCGAGCACUAGGGCAGACAUCAUGUGGCGGCGACAAAGAAGAACAAGAAGAAGAAGAAGCAGAUCCCCUUCCUCCUCCCGAUCUCGCUCCCCUCAAAACUCCGCAGCGGUGGUGGAUCCGGCGGCGGCAGACCUCCCACCCCUAAAACCCUCCAACCAUCCAGCGGCGGCAGCGGCGGCCGUCGCCGGCGAUCUCACCACCAGUGGAGGAGACGAUUCAAGCCGCCGCAACCGUAGAGAAGAAGGCCAAGCGCUCGAGGUUGCCGCCGCCGCCGCCCUCCUCCUUCCCCUUCUCCUUGCUUGCCGCCGGGGGAAACGCCGGCGAUGGCGAUGGUGUG